rnacentral:miRNA from 1 species
CGUGUUUACUGUGGACCUUG